rnacentral:ncRNA from 15 species
UGGCUGCCAUAACUCCGAGCUCAAGCUACUAAGUUGUUUUUUAAGAAGCACUCAAUAUGUAGCGUGAGCCAGUGACAAUUCGGUCACAAGGGUUUGUUUGGAAAUGAACAAGCCUCCCGUGUUUGGAAAGGUGUUCCGUGGCGCAACAA